UACGUAGGGUGCAAGCGUUGUCCGGAAUUAUUGGGCGUAAAGAGCUCGUAGGCGGUCUGUUGCGUCGGCUGUGAAAACUUGGGGCUCAACCCCAAGCAUGCAGUCGAUACGGGCAGACUAGAGUGCGGUAGGGGAGACUGGAAUUCCUGGUGUAGCGGUGAAAUGCGCAGAUAUCAGGAGGAACACCAAUGGCGAAGGCAGAUCUCUGGGCCGUAACUGACGCUGAGGAGCGAAAGCAUGGGGAGCGAACAGG
rnacentral:rRNA from 1 species